rnacentral:rRNA from 1 species
GACGAACGCUGGCGGCGUGCUUAACACAUGCAAGUCGAACGAUGAACCCGGAGCUUGCUCCGGUGGAUUAGUGGCGAACGGGUGAGUAACACGUGAGUAACCUGCCCUUGGCUCUGGGAUAACUGCGGGAAACUGUAGCUAAUACAGGAUACGGCCCUCGGCGGCCUCGCCCGGGGGUGGGAAGAAUUUUGGUCAAGGAUGGACUCGCGGCCUAGCAGCUAGUUGGUGAGGUAACGGCUCACCAAGGCGACGACGGGUAGCCGGCCUGAGAGGGUGACCGGCCACACUGGGACUGAGACACGGCCCAGACUCCUACGGGAGGCAGCAGUGGGGAAUAUUGCACAAUGGGCGCAAGCCUGAUGCAGCAACGCCGCGUGAGGGAUGACGGCCUUCGGGUUGUAAACCUCUUUUAGUAGGGAAGAGGCGAAAGUGACGGUACUUGCAGAAAAAGCACCGGCUAACUACGUGCCAGCCGCCGCAGUAA